AACGAACGCUGGCGGCAGGCCUAACACAUGCAAGUCGAACGCCCGUAGCAAUACGGGAGUGGCAGACGGGUGAGUAACGCGUGGGAACGUGCCCUUCGGUUUGGAAUAACUCAGGGAAACUUGAGCUAAUACCAAAUACGUCCGUAAGGAGAAAGAUUUAUCGCCGAAGGAUCGGCCCGCGUCGGAUUAGCUAGUUGGUGAGGUAACGGCCCACCAAGGCGACGAUCCGUAGCUGGUCUGAGAGGAUGAUCAGCCACACUGGGACUGAGACACGGCCCAGACUCCUACGGGAGGCAGCAGUGGGGAAUAUUGGACAAUGGGCGAAAGCCUGAUCCAGCCAUGCCGCGUGAGUGAAGAAGGCCUUAGGGUUGUAAGCUCUUUCAGCGGGGAAGAUAAUGACGGUACCGCAGAAGAAGCCCCGGCUAA
rnacentral:rRNA from 1 species